GAUAUCGACGAGUUUGAUCAUGGCUCAGAAUCAACGCUGGCGGCGUGCCUCAGACAUGCAAGUCGAACGAUUAAAGCUCUCUUCGGAGAGUGCAUAGAGUGGCGCACGGGUGAGUAACACGUAAGUAAUCUACCUUCGAGUGGGGAAUAACGUCCGGAAACGGGCGCUAAUACCGCAUAAUGCAGCGGCAUCGCAAGAUGACAGUUGUUAAAGGAGCAAUCCGCUUGAAGAGGAGCUUGCGGCAGAUUAGCUAGUUGGUAGGGUAAUGGCCUACCAAGGCUACGAUCUGUAACCGGUCUUAGAGGACGGUCGGUCACACUGACACUGAAUAACGGGUCAGACUCCUACGGGAGGCAGCAGUCGGGAAUUUUGGGCAAUGGGGGAAACCCUGACCCAGCAACGCCGCGUGAAGGAUGAAGUAUUUCGGUAUGUAAACUUCGAAAGAAUAGGAAGAAUUAAUGACGGUACUAUUUAUAAGGUCCGGCUAACUACGUG
rnacentral:rRNA from 1 species